GAUGAAGAACGUAGCGAAAUGCGAUAAGUAGUGUGAAUUGCAGAAUUCAGUGAAUCAUCGAAUCUUUGAACGCACAUUGCGACCAUAGGUAUUCCUUUGGCCAUGCCUGUUCGAGCGUCAUUUACACCCUCAAGCCUAGCUUGGUGUUGGGCGUCUGUCCCGCCGUUCUCGCGCGCGGACUCGCCUCAAAGUCAUUGGCGGCGGUCGUGCCGGCCCCCUCGCGCAGCACAUUUGCGCUUCUCGGAGGCCCGGCGGAUCCGCGCUCCAGCAAGACCUUUCACGACUUGACCUCGGAUCAGGUAGGGAUACCCGCUGAACUUAAGCAUAUCAAUAAGCGGAGGA
rnacentral:misc_RNA from 1 species